CCCCUUCCCUUGGCAACCGGAAAGACCUAUAUUGAAGGUGUCGGGCAACCGACUAUGGCGAUAAACGUUAUGUGAAAUAAGCGUUGCGGACCCGGGGGCGGUACCCGGCGCCUCCACCAGUUUUUCCGGCCGGCCCGAACGCCGGUCGAUUAAGGGGGCGAAACAGGAUCGACGUGCGUGGUAAAGGCAUGAUUUUCGCCCGGCAUGGUACCACCGAUAUCGGGCCACAUUCACAAAUGCCAAUGAUAACGAGGCAUUUGCUGUAGCCGCUUAGGCUGCAACGGGGUUCGGGGGGCACCUGGCAACAGAAGCCCCCCACU
rnacentral:tmRNA from 1 species